rnacentral:rRNA from 1 species
GAUGAACGCUGGCGGCGUGCCUAAUACAUGCAAGUCGAGCGAACGGACGAGAAGCUUGCUUCUCUGUUGUUAGCGGCGGACGGGUGAGUAACACGUGGAUAACCUACCUAUAAGACUGGGAUAACUUCGGGAAACCGGAGCUAAUACCGGAUAAUAUUUUGAACCGCAUUGUUCAAAAGUGAAAGACGGUCUUGCUGUCACUUAUAGAUGGAUCCGCGCUGCAUUAGCUAGUUGGUAAGGUAACGGCUUACCAAGGCAACGAUGCAUAGCCGACCUGAGAGGGUGAUCGGCCACACUGGCACUGAGACACGGUCCAGACUCCUACGGGAGGCAGCAGUAGGGAAUCUUCCGCAAAGGGCGAAAGCCUGACGGAGCAACGCCGCGUGAGUGAUGAAGGUCUUCGGAUCGUAAAACUCUGUUAUUAGGGAAGAACAUAUGUGUAAGUAACUGUGCACAUCUUGACGGUACCUAAUCAGAAAGCCACGGCUAACUACGUG